rnacentral:rRNA from 1 species
CCGCCGGCGACCGGCGCACGGGUGAGUAACACGUAUGCAACCUGGCCGUGACAGAUGGAUAACCGGGAGAAAUCCCGCCUAAUACAACAUAAUGCCGGGAGGGGACAUCCCCUGCCGGCCAAAGGGGCGACCCCGGUCACGGAUGGGCAUGCGGCGCAUUAGGUAGUUGGUGGGGCAACGGCCCACCAGGCCGACGAUGCGUAGGGGUUCUGAGAGGAAGGUCCCCCACAUUGGAACUGAGACACGGUCCAAACUCCUACGGGAGGCAGCAG